rnacentral:lncRNA from 1 species
GAAACGGUCCUAGAAAAAGCAAGCGUCUGGUGAUCUAGACUUCAUGCGUGUUUAUAAUUUUCCUAAAACACCUCAAAAUACAGACAUGGGAGUUGUUGAUUUCACGAAGAGUUUAUGGAAUAAUCCAUACCGAUGGUCACUUGUUAAAGGUAUAGGAAUGUUUGCAUUAGCUAUCUACAUUGCACGUGAAUUAGAAGCUGCAGAAGCAGAGGCAGUUGCAGAAACAGCAGCACAACUCUCACAACCACGCUGAUAGAAUUUAACUUAACUGAUUUUAUUGAAUGAUUGGUGAUUGUGUGAGAAGGGGUGGCUGUGUGUGUUCAUGGAUUUUUAGUUACAAUAUAUGAAUUGUCCAUACCUUGUAUCAAUUUAUUUGUAAAAUUUCAUCUGUAAUAAAAUUUUGGAUUA